rnacentral:lncRNA from 1 species
CUUGGCGUAGUCUUACGGGAUGCUUUCUACUGAGGGAGCCCCUUGAAUUCCCUGUGGCUGUACCUUCCCCACGGGGCGAGCAAUC